UACGUAGGGGGGCAAGCGUUUGUCCGGAAUCAUUGGGCGUAAAGAGCGUGUAGGCGGUUCGAUAAGUCUGCUGUGAAAGUCCAGGGCUCAACCCUGGGAUGCCGGUGGAUACUGUCGGGCUAGAGUACGGAAGAGGCGAGUGGAAUUCCCGGUGUAGCGGUGAAAUGCGCAGAUAUCGGGAGGAACAUCUGUGGCGAAGGCGACACCCUGGACCAGCACUGACACUGAGGCACGAAAGCGUGGGGAGCAAACAGG
rnacentral:rRNA from 1 species